rnacentral:lncRNA from 1 species
UUUAGUUCCCCUAAAGGGGAUGAAGAAGUCCCCUUCGGGGAGGAACACCCCUUUGGUUCAUCCCCUUUAGGGGAACUAAAGAAGACGAACUAAAGAAGUUCCCCUUUAGGGGAAGAACACCAAAGGGGAAGAACCGAAGGGGAACACACCCCCCCUUCGUCUUCCCCUUUGGGGAACCCUUCGGUUCCCCUAAAGGGGACGAACACUAAAGGGGUUCCCCUUUAGUUCAUCCCCUAAAGGGGAACUUUAGUUCCCCUUUAGGGGAAGAAGAAGAGCACUAAAGUUCCCCUUUAGGGGAAGAACCCCAAAGUCUUCCCCCGAAGGGGGGGGGGGAAGUCAUCCCCUAAAGGGGAACCAAAGUCUUACCCUUCUUCCCCGUANGGGAGUUCAUCCCCUAAAGUUCCCCUUUAGGGGAAGAACUAAAGGGGUUCCCCUUUAGUUCCCCUUUAGGGGAAGAAGAGCACUAAAGUUCAUCCCCGAAGGGGAACAUCCCCUAAAGUUCCCCUUUAGGGGAAGAACUAAAGGGGAACUAAAGUUCCCCUUUAGGGGAAGAACUAAAGGGGAACUAAAGUUCCCCUUUAGGGGAAGAACUAAAGGGGAACUAAAGUUCCCCUUUAGGGGAUGAAGAACUUUAGGGGAAGACCAACGUUUGGUGCUCUGCACCUCUUAAACUAACGGACGUUGGCCUAUGUUAGGUUUGCUUUGUAGUUUUUAAACUAUCUCGGGGCUAGCCCCUUCCGAAAAACGGGCUUCGGCUAUAAUAACAAGCUCAUGGCGCUCUUGUCAUAUACCGUGCAACGUAAUUUGCUCUACGAUUUUAGUUUACACUUUUUCAAAAAAAUAAAAUCUAGCCAACUUUUGUAUAAAAAUCCAAUAUUUAUUAAGUAG